AGGGUUCGGAUCAUGGCUCAGAUUAGCUGGCGGGAUGCUUUACACAUGCAAGUCGAACGGCAGUACUUUGGACUUCGGUCUGGUGGCGAGCGGCGUGAACGGGGUGAGUAAUGUAUCGGAAUGUGCCUAGUAGCGGGGAUAACUACGCGAAAGCGUGACAAUACCGCAUACGCUCCCGGGGUGAGGUGCUGGGACCUUCGGGCCUCUGCACGAGAGCUGGCUGAUAUCGGAUUAAGCUAGUUGGUGGGGUAACGGUCACAAUUACUGGGCGCGACGAUCCGUAGCUAAUAGUUUGAGAGGACGACCAGCCACACUGGGACUGGAGACACGGCCCAGACUCCUACGGAGGCAGCAGUGGGGAAUUUUGGACAAUGGGGAAAAAACUCCUGAUCCAGCCAUCCCGCGUGUGCGAUGAAGGCCUUCGGGUUGUAAAGCACUUUUUGGCAGGAAAGAAAACGGCACGGGAUAAUACCCCGUGCAACUGACGGUACCUGCAGAAUAAGCACCGGCUAACUACGUGCCAGCAGCCGCGGUGAACAUGUAGUGCAAGCGUUAAUCGGAACCACGGGCGUGCAGCGCGCGCAGGCGGUUCGGAAAGAAAGAUGUGAAAUCCCAGAGCUUAACUUUGGAACUGCAUUUUUAACUACCGAGCUAGAGUGCGUCAGAGGUGGAGGUGGAAUUCCGCAGCAGUGAAAUGCGUAGAUAUGCGGAGGAACACCACGGCAAGCGGCUGCAGCCUCCUGGGAUAACACUGACGCUCAUGCACGAAAGCGUGGGGCAAAACAGAUUAGAUACCCUGGUAGUCCACGCCCUAAACGAUGUCAACUAGCUGGGUUGGGGCCUUCGGGCCUUGCAGCACUCAAGGUGAAGUUGACCGCCUGGGGAGUACGGUCGCAAGAUUAAACCCGGCAUGAAUUGACGGGGGGUGACCCGCACAAGCGGUGGACAGAUGUGACGACCUGAUGCACCAAGAAAAAACCCAUCACUCCUGACAUGCUCCGAAUCCCGAAGAGAUUGGGAGUGCUCAAAAGAGAACCGGAACACAGGUGCUGGUAUGGCCGUCGUCAGCUCGUGUCGUGAGAUGCGGUUGUCCCAACGAGCGCAACCCUUGUCAUUAGUUGCUACGAAAGGGCACUGACAUCGAGAUUGCCGGUGACAAACUGGAGGAAGGUGGGGAUGACGUCAAGUCCUCGCGGCCCUUAUGGGUAGAGCUUCACACGUCAUACAAUGGUCAGGGACAGAGGGUCGCCAACCGCGAGGGGGAGCCAAUCCUGCAGAAACCCGAUCGUAGUCCGGAUCGCAGUCUGCAACUCGACUGCGUGAAGCUCGAAUCGCUAGUAACGAUCAGCAUGCUUCAGGGACACGUUCCUCGGUCUUAUACACACCGCCCGUCACACCAUGGGAGUGGGUUUUACCAGAAGUAGUUAGCCUAACCGUAAGGAGGGCGAUUACCACGGUAGGAUUCAUGACUGGGGUGAAGUCAACAAGGUAG
rnacentral:rRNA from 1 species